ACACAUGCAAGUCGAGCGGCAUCGAGUGAGCACACUUUACUGAGUUCAUGUCGGCGAGCGGCGGACGGGUGAGUAAAGUCUGGGAAUCUGGCCGACGGAGGGGGAUAACUGCUGGAAACGGCAGCUAAUACCGCAUGAAGUCGUGAGACCAAAGUGGGGGACCUUCGGGCCUCACGCCGUCGGAUGAGCCCAGAUGAGAUUAGCUGGUAGGUAGGGUAAAGGCUUACGUAGGCGACGAUCUCUAGCGGGUCUGAGAGGAUAGCCCGCCACACUGGAACUGAGACACGGUCCAGACUCCUACGGGAGGCAGCAGUGGGGAAUAUUGCACAAUGGGCGAAAGCCUGAUGCAGCCAUGCCACGUGUGUGAAGAAGGCCUUCGGGUUGUAAAGCACUUUCAGUGAGGAGGAAGCGAUAAAUGCCAAUACCAUUUAUUUUUGACGUUACUCGCAGAAGAAGCACCGGCUAACUCCGUGCCAGCAGCCGCGGUAAU
rnacentral:rRNA from 1 species